GACGAACGCUGGCGGCGUGCUUAACACAUGCAAGUCGAGCGGUAAGGCCUCUUCGGGGGUACACGAGCGGCGAACGGGUGAGUAACACGUGGGCGACCUGCCCUCAGCUUCGGGAUAAGCCUGGGAAACUGGGUCUAAUACCGGAUAUGACUUCGCAUCGCAUGGUGUGUUGUGGAAAGUCCUGGGCUUAGUUGUCUGGGCUCGGCUGGGGAUGGGCCCGCGGCCUAUCAGCUUGUUGGUGGGGUGAUGGCCUACCAAGGCGACGACGGGUAGCCGG
rnacentral:rRNA from 1 species